UUAAGUGAAUAAGGGCGCACGGUGGAUGCCUAGGCACUAGGAGCCGAUGAAGGACGGGACUAACACCGAUAUGCUCCGGGGAGCUGUAAGUAAGCUUUGAUCCGGAGAUUUCCGAAUGGGGCAACCCAAUAUCUUUGAUAGGAUAUUACGUUACACUGAAUACAUAGGUGUAUCGAGGAACACGCAGGGAACUGAAACAUCUCAUUACCUGCAGGAAGAGAAAGAAAAUUCGAUUCCCUUAGUAGCGGCGAGCGAAACGGGAAAAGCCCAAACCAAAGAGCUUGCUCUUUGGGGUUGUAGGACUGGGACAUGAGACUGCAAUGGAUAGCAGAAGCCAACUGGAAAGUUGCGCAACAUAGGGUAAUAGCCCCGUAUGCGAAAUCCAAAUCAGCUCUACCAGUAUCCUGAGUACGGCGGAACACGAGAAAUUCCGUCGGAAUCCGGGAGGACCAUCUCCCAAGGCUAAAUACUCCCUAGUGACCGAUAGUGAACCAGUACCGUGAGGGAAAGGUGAAAAGCACCCCGGAAGGGGAGUGAAACAGUACCUGAAACCGUGUGCCUACAAGUAGUCAAAGCCCGUUAAUGGGUGAUGGCGUACCUUUUGUAGAAUGGACCGGCGAGUUACGAUUUCAUGCGAGGUUAAGUUGAAAAGACGGAGCCGCAGCGAAAGCGAGUCUGAAUAGGGCGAAUAAGUAUGAGGUCGUAGACCCGAAACCAAGUGACCUACCCAUGUCCAGGUUGAAGGUGCGGUAAUACGCACUGGAGGACCGAACCCACGCACGUUGAAAAGUGCGGGGAUGAGGUGUGGGUAGCGGAGAAAUUCCAAUCGAACUUGGAGAUAGCUGGUUCUCUCCGAAAUAGCUUUAGGGCUAGCCUCGGAUAUGCGAAUCAUGGAGGUAGAGCACUGUUUGGACUAGGGGCCCUUCUCGGGUUACCGAAUUCAGAUAAACUCCGAAUGCCAUUGAUUUAGAUCCGGGAGUCAGACUGCGAGUGAUAAGAUCCGUAGUCAAAAGGGAAACAGCCCAGACCACCAGCUAAGGUCCCAAAGUAUCUGUUAAGUGGAAAAGGAUGUGGGGUUGCACAGACAACUAGGAUGUUGGCUCAGAAGCAGCCAUCAUUUAAAGAGUGCGUAAUAGCUCACUAGUCGAGUGACCCUGCGCCGAAAAUUUACCGGGGCUAAACAGAUCACCGAAGCUGUGGAUGGAACCCAAUGGGUUCCGUGGUAGGAGAGCGUUCUAAGGGCAUCGAAGCCAGAUCGUGAGGACUGGUGGAGCGCUUAGAAGUGAGAAUGCCGGUAUGAGUAGCGCAAGACGGGUGAGAAUCCCGUCCACCGAAUAACUAAGGUUUCCUGGGGAAGGCUCGUCCUCCCAGGGUUAGUCGGGACCUAAGCUGAGGCCGAUAGGCGUAGGCGAUGGACAACAGGUUGAUAUUCCUGUACCAGUUGCUUUUGUUUGAGCGAUGGAGGGACGCAGGAGGCUAAGGAAUGCACACGAUCGGAAAUGUGUGUCCAAGCAGCAAGUCUGAGAACGAGUGAAAUGCUUUUUCUCUCAAGGACAAGCUGUGAUGGGGAGCGAAAUUUAGUAGCGAAGUUCCUGAUGUCACACUGCCAAGAAAAGCUUCUAGUGAGAAAGUAACUGCCCGUACCGCAAACCGACACAGGUAGUUGAGGAGAGAAUCCUAAGGUGUGCGAGAGAACUCUCGUUAAGGAACUCGGCAAAAUGACCCCGUAACUUCGGGAGAAGGGGUGCUGACCGCAAGGUCAGCCGCAGUGAAUAGGCCCAAGCGACUGUUUAUCAAAAACACAGGUCUCUGCAAAAUCGAAAGAUGACGUAUAGGGGCUGACGCCUGCCCGGUGCUGGAAGGUUAAGAGGAGAGGUUAGCGCAAGCGAAGCUUUGAAUUUAAGCCCCAGUAAACGGCGGCCGUAACUAUAACGGUCCUAAGGUAGCGAAAUUCCUUGUCGGGUAAGUUCCGACCCGCACGAAAGGCGUAACGAUUUGGGCACUGUCUCAACGAGAGACUCGGUGAAAUUUUAGUACCUGUGAAGAU
rnacentral:rRNA from 1 species